GACGAACGCUGGCGGCGUGCUUAACACAUGCAAGUCGAACGGACAGGCCCUGCUUUUGUGGGGUGCUCGAGUGGCGAACGGGUGAGUAACACGUGAGUAACCUGCCCUUGUCUUUGGGAUAACUUCAGGAAACUGGGGCUAAUACCGGAUAGGAGCUCCUGCUGCAUGGUGGUGGUUGGAAAGUUUCGGCGGUUGUGGAUGGACUCGCGGCUUAUCAGCUUGUUGGUGGGGUAGGGGCUUACAAAGGCUUUGACGGGUAGCCCGCAUUGGAGGGGGACCGGCCUCCUUGCUCCUGCGAUACGGCGCAGACUCCUAUGUGCGGCAGCGGUGGGGAACCUUGCGGAGUGGGGGCGAGCCUGUGGCAGCAGCGUCGCGUGCGGGAUGCUGGCCUUCGGGUUGUAAACCGCUGUCUCCGGUGACGAAGCGUUAGUGACGGUAAUUGGUAAAGAAGCACCGGCUAACUACGUG
rnacentral:rRNA from 1 species